rnacentral:rRNA from 1 species
GAGUUUGAUCCUGGCUCAGGAUGAACGCUGGCGGCGUGCCUAACACAUGCAAGUCGAACGGAAACAUCCCGUCGAUGCGAUUUCGGUCAAGUCAAGGGAUGUUUUAGUGGCGGACGGGUGAGUAACGCGUGGGCAACCUGCCUUACACCGGGGGAUAACACUUAGAAAUAGGUGCUAAUACCGCAUAACAGGAGAACAUGCAUGUGUUUUCCUUGAAAACCACGGUGGUGUAAGAUGGACCCGCGUCUGAUUAGCUUGUAGGCAGGGUAACGGCCUACCAAGGCGACGAUCAGUAGCCGGCCUGAGAGGGUGGACGGCCACAUUGGGACUGAGACACGGCCCAGACUCCUACGGGAGGCAGCAGUGGGGAAUAUUGCACAAUGGGGGAAACCCUGAUGCAGCGACGCCGCGUGAGUGAAGAAGUAUUUCGGUAUGUAAAGCUCUGUCAGCAGGGAAGAAAAUGACGGUACCUGACCAAGAAGCCCCGGCUAACUACGUGCCAGCAGCCGCGGUAAUACGUAGGGGGCAAGCGUUAUCCGGAUUUACUGGGUGUAAAGGGAGCGUAGACGGCAGCACAAGUCUGGAGUGAAAUCCCGGGGCUUAACCCCGGAACUGCUUUGGAAACUGUGCGGCUGGAGUGCAGGAGGGGUAAGCGGAAUUC